rnacentral:lncRNA from 1 species
CGUGUAACUUCCACAUUAUUAUUUAUUUUUUAAGUAUUAAGGUUGAUGUUGAUAUCAAAAAUUUAGAUUUCAAAGAUAGUUUUAUGUAGGUAGAUACUAAUAGAGUAAUCUAAAUACUAAUAAACUAGAUAAUAGAUUAGAUACAAAGUAAGCUGUAAGUAGUAUAACUGCCCAUGUAAUCACCUGUUAUGUUGUUUUUUUUAGAUUUGUACUGUAUGGAUGGCACAGGAAGAGAACAGAGAACAAGAGUACAAGAACAUGAAACAUCUUAUUAUGAAUGUAUAUGUAUGUGAUCCUCAAAAAAUUAUUUUUCAAAACAAGAUAGAGAAUGAGCUUUAAAAUCCCAAGGAUCCUGCAAAAUGUCUAUUUGGUGUACUAGUCGAAUAAUAGUAUCUAAAAAUAAUGAAACUGUUUUAAAACACAUUAUGGGCAUGAGGAUGAUAUAGAGCACUUACAUAAAUACCAAAAUCAGAUAAAUAUCUCUUCAAAGUUUAUUUUGAGACUUUCUUCAAAAAUUAAACUUCAGACUGUCCAGGAUAGCAUAAUAGCAUAGGAGGCAAAUUAAAAAGAAUUAAUUUACUUACAAGAAGAGAUAUCACAAACAUUAAACUCUCUUAUGGCAUUGAUUUGAAAGAUGGGUAUAUGUACAAUGAUGAUGCAACCAGUGUUUAUUUUUGGGUUGAAUGCUUACAGAUUAUUUAUUUUUUCCAAUAUUAUUUUACAAACAACAGGGCAUACUAAUGGAUAUUCAUUCUGAAUUUAACAUUUAUGAUUUUUGUCUUAUUUUCCUUAAUACUGUGCCAAAAGGAAAUGUUAAUUAAGUUUGGCAAAUCCUUUAUCGCAAUCGAUGGAACUCAUGGGCUCAAUUCCUAUGACUUUGAACUUAUGACAGUAUUAGUAAAAGAUGAAUUUGGGAAUGGA